GACGAACGCUGGCGGCAGGCCUAACACAUGCAAGUCGAACGAACCCUUCGGGAGUGGAUUAGCGGCGGACGGGUGAGUAACACGUGGGUAACCUGCCUCAUAGAGGGGAAUAGCCUUCCGAAAGGAAGAUUAAUACCGCAUAAGAUUGUAGUUCCGCAUGGAACAGCAAUUAAAGGAGUAAUCCGCUAUGAGAUGGACCCGCGUCGCAUUAGCUAGUUGGUGAGGUAACGGCUCACCAAGGCGACGAUGCGUAGCCGACCUGAGAGGGUGAUCGGCCACAUUGGGACUGAGACACGGCCCAGACUCCUACGGGAGGCAGCAGUGGGGAAUAUUGCACAAUGGGGGAAACCCUGAUGCAGCAACGCCGCGUGAGUGAUGACGGUCUUCGGAUUGUAAAACUCUGUCUUUGGGGACGAUAAUGACGGUACCCAAGGAGGAAGCCACGGCUAACUGCGUGCCAGCCGCCGCAGUAAAAC
rnacentral:rRNA from 1 species